rnacentral:piRNA from 1 species
UAUUAUCCUCGUGGAUCAGAGAAAAUAGA